GUAGAAUCGUGUGAGGUCAAAACAGUUGGGGAUGCACUAAAUACUUUUGUUGCUUGGCCAAAAUACCUUGUCAAAACUAGCCAAAAGAUACCAAAUCUAUUAAGCAUUCAAACACAAAACACUACAACUCAAGUCGCUAAAAAGCAAAAGAUGUGUUUUACAACGCUAGAUGGCAUCAAAAAACAGGGAGCAAGAAGAACAAGAAAAACACUUUAAACUAGUACUUAUUUUAUGUUUACAAUCAUUUCCUUUUGCAACAUUUGUAGAUAGUUUUUUAUUAGAAGUUUAGUUUUUU